UAAUGUAUCAUAACAUAAUGUAACAUAACGUCAUGUCAGGUCUUUGCUCUUCCUUUUUCUGCCUCACGUAAGUUAACCGAUAAUUAUCAAUGAAAUAAGUAUCCAAUCGACUGAGCCCGUAACACACGUGCUGCUCAAUAUCCAGAACACCAUUUGGAGUCAGAGUUGUGCGAUGGGUCGUUUGAUAAAAGGCAGAAGUAUCGCUCAGUGGGUAGAGUGGCUGGUUGGCACCCGGGAGGCCGGGGCGCGAUUCCAGGUGUGAGUGAGUGAGAUAGGAAUAGGGAGUAUAGGAGUGAGUGAGUGUGAUGAGUAUAGGAGUGAGUGAGAUAGGCAUAGGGAGUACAGGAGUGAGUGAGUGUGAUGAGUAUAGGAGUGAGUGAGAUAGGCAUAGGGAGUAUAGGAGUGAGUGAGUGUGAUGAGUAUAGGAGUGAGUGAGACAGGCAUAGGGAGUAUAGCUCAGUGGGUAGAGUGGCUGGCAAGCACCCGGGAGGCCAGGUUCGAUUCCAGGUGUGAGUGCGUGAGAUAGGCAUAGGAAGAAGAGCUCAGGGGGGAAAGAGGCUGGCUGGCACCCGGGAGGCCGGGGUUCGAUUCUGGGAGUCAGUGAGAUAGGCAUCGGGAGUAUGUGAGCGAGUGAGAUGAGUAUAGGAGUGAGUGAGAUAGGCAUAGGGAGUAUAGCUCAGUGGGUAGAGUGGCUGGCUGACAUCCGGGAGGCCGGGGUUCGAUUCCAGGUGUGAGUCAGAUAGGGAUAGGGAGUCCAGGAGUGAGUCAGAUAGGCAUAGGGAGUGAGUGUGGGUGGGUUGGUGAGUGAGAUAGGCAUAGGGAGAAUAGGAGUGAUUGAGAUCGGCAUCGGGAGUAUAGGUCAGUGGGUGAGUGAGAUAGGCAUAGGGAGAAAAGCUCAGUGGGUGAGUGAGAUAGGCAUAGGGAGUGUGAGUGAGAUAGGCAUAGGGAGAAUAGGAGUGAGUGAGAUCGGCAUCGGGAGUAUAGCUCAGUUGGUGAGUGAGAUAAGCAUCGAGAGUAUAGCUAACUGGGUGAGUGAGAUAGGCAUAGGGAGUACAGCUCGUUCGGUCGGUGGGUGGGUGAGUGAGAUCGGCAUAGGGAGUAUAGCUCAGUGGGUCGAGUGGCUGGCUGGCACCCGGGAGGCCGGGGUUCGAUUCCAGGUGUGAGUGAGAUAGGCAUAGGGAGAAUAGGAGUGAUUGAGAUCGGCAUCGGGAGUAUAGGUCAGUGGGUGAGUGAGAUAGGCAGCGGGUGUAUAGCGAACUGGGUGAGUGAGAUAGGCAUAGGGAGUAUAGCUCAGUUUGUAGAGUGGCUGGCUGGCACCCGAGAGGCUUGGGUUCGAUUCCAGGUGUGAGUGAGAUCGGCAUAGGAAGUAUAGCUCAGUGAGUGAGUGAGAUAGGCAUAGGGAGUAUAGCUAACUGGAUGAGUGAGAUAGGCAUCGGGAGUAUAGCUCAGUGGGUAGAGUCGCUGGCUGGCACCCGGGAGCCCGGGGUUCGAUUCCAGGUGUGAGUCGGAUAGGGAGUCCAGGAGUGAGUGAGAUAGGCAUAGGAGAAUAAGAGUGAGUAAGAUAGGCAUUGGAGUAUUGCUAACUGGGUGAGUGAGAUAGGCAUAGGGAGUAUAGCUCAGUGGGUAGAGUGGCUGGCUGGCACCCGGGAGGCCGGGGUUCGAUUCCAGGUGUGAGUGAGAUAGGCAGAGGGAGUACAGCUCGGUGGGUGGGUGAGUGAGAUAGGAGUGAGUGAUAUCGGCAUAUGGAGUCGAGCUCAGUGGGUGAGUGAGAUAGGCAUUGGGAGUAUAGCGACCUGGAUGAGUGAGAUAGGCAUCGGGAGUAUAGCUCAGUGGGUAGAGUGGCUGGCUGGCACCCGGGAGGCCGGGGCUCGAUUCCAGGAGUGAGUGAGAUUGGCAUAGGGAAGUAUAGCUCGGUGGGUGGGUGAGUGAGAGAGGCAUAGGGAGUAUAGCUCAAUGGGUAGAGUGGCUGGCUGGCACCCGGGAGGCCGGGGUUCGAUUCCAGGUGUGAGUCAGAUAGGCAUUGGGAGUAUAGCUAACUGGAUGAGCGAGGUAGGUAUCGGGAGUAUAGCUCAGUGGGUAGAGUGGCUGGCUGGCACCCGGGAGACCGGGGUUCGAUUCCAGGUGUGAGUCGGAUAGGGAGUCCAGGAGUGAGUGAGAUAGGCAUAGGGAGGGUGGGUAGGUGAGUGAGAUAGGCAUAGGGAGAAUAGGAGUGAUAGAGAUCGGUAUAGGGAGUAUAGCUCAGUGGGUGAGUGAGAUAGGCAUCGGGUGUAUCGCGAACUGGGUGAGUGAGAUCGGCAUAGGGAGAAUAGGAGUGAGUGAGAUAAGCAUAGGGAGUAUAGCUCAGUGGGUAGAGUGGCUGGCUGGCACCCGGGAGGCCGGGGUUCGAUUCCAGGUGUGAGUGAGAUAGGCAUAGGGAAUACAGGAGUGAGUGAGAUCGGCAUCGGGAGUAUAGCUCAGUGGGUCGAGUGGCUGCCUGGCACCCGGGAGGCCGGGGUUCGAUUCCAGGUGUGAGUGAGAUAGGCAUAGGGAGAAUAGGAGUGAUUGAGAUCGGCAUCGGGAGUAUAGGUCAGUGGGUGAGUGAGAUAGGCAGCGGGUGUAUAGCGAACUGGGUGAGUGAGAUAGGCAUAGGGAGUAUAGCUCAGUUUGUAGAGUGGCUGGCUGGCACCCGAGAGGCAAGGGUUCGAUUCCAGGUGUGAGUGAGAUCGGCAUAGGAAGUAUAGCUCAGUGAGUGAGUGAGUGAGAUCGGCAUAGGGAGUAUAGCUCAGUGGGUGAGUGAGAUAGGCAUCGGGUGUAUAGCGAACUGGGUGAGUGAGAUAGGCAUAGGGAGUAUAGCUCAGUGGGUAGAGUGGCUGUCUGGCACCCGGGAGGCCGGGGUUCGAUUCCAGGUGUGAGUGAGAUAGGCAUAGGGAGUACAGGAGUGAGUGAAAUCGGCAUCGGGAGUAUAGCUCAGUUGGUGAGUGAGAUAAGCAUCGAGAGUAUAGCUAACUGGGUGAGUGAGAUAGGCAUAGGGAGUAUAGCUCGUUCGGUCGGUGGGUGGGUGAGUGAGAUCGGCAUAGGGAGUAUAGGAGUGAGUGAGAUAGGCAUUGGGAGUAUAGCUAACUGGAUGAGUGAGAUAGGCAUAGGGAGUCCAGGAGUGAGUGAGAUCGGCAUCGGGAGUAUAGCUCAGUUGGUGAGUGAGAUAGGCAUCGGGAGUAUAGCUCAGUGGGUAGAGUGGCUGGCUGGCACCCGAGAGGCUUGGGUUCGAUUCCAGGUGUGAGUGAGAUCGGCAUAGGAAGUAUAGCUCAGUGAGUGAGUGAGAUCGGCAUAGGGAGAAUAGGAGUGAGUGAGAUAGGCAUUGGGAGUAUAGCUCACUGGGUGAGUGAGAUAGGCAUAGGGAGUAUAGCUCAGUGGGUAGAGUGGCUGGCUGGCACCCGAGAGGCCAGGGUUCGAUUCCAGGUGUGAGUGAGAUCGGCAUAGGAAGUAUAGCUCAGUGAGUGAGUGAGUGAGAUCGGCAUAGGGAGUAUAGCUCAGUGGGUGAGUGAGAUAGGCAUCGGGUGUAUAGCGAACUGGGUGAGUGAGAUAGGCAUAGGGAGUAUAGCUCAGUGGGUAGAGUGGCUGUCUGGCACCCGGGAGGCCGGGGUUCGAUUCCAGGUGUGAGUGAGAUAGGCAUAGGGAGUACAGGAGUGAGUGAAAUCGGCAUCGGGAGUAUAGCUCAGUUGGUGAGUGAGAUAAGCAUCGAGAGUAUAGCUAACUGGGUGAGUGAGAUAGGCAUAGGGAGUAUAGCUCGUUCGGUCGGUGGGUGGGUGAGUGAGAUCGGCAUAGGGAGUAUAGCUCGGUGGGUCGAGUGGCUGCCUGGCACCCGGGAGGCCGGGGUUCGAUUCCAGGUGUGAGUGAGAUAGGCAUAGGGAGAAUAGGAGUGAUUGAGAUCGGCAUCGGGAGUAUAGCUCAGUUGGUGAGUGAGAUAGGCAUCGGGAGUAUAGCUCAGUGGGUAGAGUGGCUGGCUGGCACCCGAGAGGCUUGGGUUCGAUUCCAGGUGUGAGUGAGAUCGGCAUAGGAAGUAUAGCUCAGUGAGUGAGUGAGAUAGGCAUCGAGAGUAUAGCGAACCGGGUGAGUGAGAUCGGCAUAGGGAGAAUAGGAGUGAGUGAGAUAGGCAUUGGGAGUAUAGCUCACUGGGUGAGUGAGAUAGGCAUAGGGAGUAUAGCUCAGUGGGUAGAGUGGCUGGCUGGCACCCGAGAGGCCAGGGUUCGAUUCCAGGUGUGAGUGAGAUAGGCAUAGGAAGUAUAGCUCAGUGAGUGAGUGAGUGAGAUAGGCAUAGGGAGUAUAGCUGAGUGAGUGAGAUCGGCAUCGGGAGUAUAACUUAGUGAGUGAGUGAGUGAGAUAGGCAUCGGGAGUAUAACUCAGUGGGUAGAGUGGUUGGCUGGCUGGCACCCGGGAGGCCGGGGUUCGAUUCCAGGUGUGAGUGAGAUAGGCAUAGGGAGUACAGCUCGGUGAGUGGGUGAGUGAGAUAGGAGUGAGUGAUAUCGGCAUAUGGAGUCGAGCUCAGUGGGUGAGUGAGAUAGGCAUUGCGAGUAUAGCUAACUGGAUGAGUGAGAUAGGCAUCGGGAGUAUAGCUCAGUGGGUAGAGUUGCUGGCUGGCACCCGGGAGCCCGGGGUUCGAUUCCAGGUGUGAGUGAGAUAGGCAUAGGGAGUAUUGCUCGGUGGGUGGGUGAGUGACAUAGGCAUAGGCAGAAUAGGAGUGAGUGAGAUCGGCAUAGGGGGAAAAGCUCAGUGGGUGAGUGAGAAAGGCAUAGGGAGUGUGAGUGAGAUCGGCAUAGGGGGAAAAGCUCAGUUGGUGAGUGAGAUAGGCAUAGGGAAUGUGAGUGAGAUAGGCAUAGGGAGAAUAGGAGUGAGUGAGAUCGGCAUUGGGAGUAUCACUCAGUGAGUGAGUGAGAUAGGCAUAGGGAGUACAGGAGUGAAUGAGUUUGGCAGAGGGAGAAUAGGAAUGAGUGAAAUAGGCAUAGGGACUGUGGGUCGGUGGGUGGGUGAGAUAGGCAUAGGCAGUACAGGAGUGAAUGAGUUAGGCAUAGGGAGAAUAGGAGUGAGUGAGAUAGGCAUCGGGAGUACAGCUAACUGGGUGAGUGAGAUAGGCAUAGGGAGAAUAGGAGUGAGUGAGAUAGGCAUAGGGAGUAUAGCUCAGUGGGUCGAGUGGCUGGCUGGCACCCGGGAGGCCGGGGUUCGAUUCCAGGUGUGAGUCGGAUAGGGAGUCCAGGAGUGAGUGAGAUAGGCAUAGGGAGUGUGUGUGGGUGUGUGGGUGGGUGGGUGAGAUAGGCAUAGGGAGUGUGGGUGGGUGAGAUAGGCAUAGGGAGUAUAGCUGACUGGGUGAGUGAAAUCGGCAUAGGGAGAAUAGGAGUGAGUGAGAUCGGCAUCGGGAGUAUAGCUCAGUUGGUGAGUGAGAUAACCAUCGAGAGUAUAGCGAACUGGGUGAGUGAGAUCGGCAUAGGGAGAAUAGGAGUGAGUGAGAUAGGCAUUGGGAGUAUAGCUAACUGGGUGAGUGAGAUAGGCAUAGGGAGUAUAGCUCAGUGGGUAGAGUGGCUGGCUGGCACCCGAGAGGCCAGGGUUCGAUUCCAGGUGUGAGUGAGAUCGGCAUAGGAAGUAUAGCUCAGUGAGUGAGUGAGAUAGGCAUCGAGAGUAUAGCGAACCGGGUGAGUGAGAUCGGCAUAGGGAGAAUAGGAGUGAGUGAGAUAGGCAUUGGGAGUAUAGCUCACUGGGUGAGUGAGAUAGGCAUAGGGAGUAUAGCUCAGUGGGUAGAGUGGCUGGCUGGCACCCGAGAGGCCAGGGUUCGAUUCCAGGUGUGAGUGAGAUCGGCAUAGGAAGUAUAGCUCAGUGAGUGAGUGAGUGAGAUCGGCAUAGGGAGUAUAGCUCAGUGGGUGAGUGAGAUAGGCAUCGGGUGUAUAGCGAACUGGGUGAGUGAGAUAGGCAUAGGGAGUAUAGCUCAGUGGGUAGAGUGGCUGGCUGGCACCCGGGAGGCUGGGGUUCGAUUCCAGGUGUGAGUGAGAUAGGCAUAGGGAGAAUAGGAGUGAUUGAGAUCGGCAUAGGGAGUAUAGCUAACUGGGUGAGUGAGAUAGGCAUAGGGAGUCCAGGAGUGAGUGAGAUCGGCAUCGGGAGUAUAGCUCAGUUGGUGAGUGAGAUAGGCAUCGGGAGUAUAGCUCAGUGGGUAGAGUGGCUGGCUGGCACCCGAGAGGCUUGGGUUCGAUUCCAGGUGUGAGUGAGAUAGGCAUAGGAAGUAUAGCUCAGUGAGUGAGUGAGAUAAACAUCGAGAGUAUAGUGAACUGGGUGAGUGAGAUCGGCAUAGGGAGAAUAGGAGUGAGUGAGAUAGGCAUUGGGAGUAUAGCUAACUGGGUGAGUGAGAUAGGCAUAGGGAGUAUAGCUCAGUGGGUAGAGUGGCUGGCUGGCACCCGAGAGGCCAGGGUUCGAUUCCAGGUGUGAGUGAGAUCGGCAUAGGAAGUAUAGCUCAGUGAGUGAGUGAGUGAGAUAGGCAUAGGGAGAAUAGGAGUGAUUGAGAUCGGCAUAGGGAGUAUAGCUCAGUGGGUGAGUGAGAUAGGCAUCGGGUGUAUAGCGAACUGGGUGAGUGAGAUAAGCGUAGGGAGUAUAGCUCAGUGGGUAGAGUGGCUGGCUGGCACCCGAGAGGCUUGGGUUCGAUUCCAGGUGUGAGUGAGAUCGGCAUAGGAAGUAUAGCUCAGUGAGUGAGUGAGAUAGGCAUGGGGAGUAUAGCUCAGUGGGUCGAGUGGCUGGCUGGCACCCGGGAGGCCGGGGUUCGAUUCCAGGUGUGAGUGAGAUAGGCAUAGGGAGUACAGGAGUGAGUGAGAUCGGCAUCGGGAGUAUAGCUCAGUUGGUGAGUGAGAUAAGCAUCGAGAGUAUAGCUAACUGGGUGAGUGAGAUAGGCAUAGGGAGUAUAGCUUGUUCGGUCGGUGGGUGGGUGAGUGAGAUCGGCAUAGGGAGUAUAGCUCAGUGGGUCGAGUGGCUGCCUGGCACCCGGGAGGCCGGGGUUCGAUUCCAGGUGUGAGUGAGAUAGGCAUAGGGAGAAUAGGAGUGAUUGAGAUCGGCAUCGGGAGUAUAGGUCAGUGGGUGAGUGAGAUAGGCAGCGGGUGUAUAGCGAACUGGGUGAGUGAGAUAGGCAUAGGGAGUAGAGCUCAGUUUGUAGAGUGGCUGGCUGGCACCCGAGAGGCUCGGGUUCGAUUCCAGGUGUGAGUGAGAUCGGCAUAGGAGUGAGUGAGAUAGGCAUAGGGAGUACAGGAGUGAGUGAGAUCGGCAUCGGGAGUAUCGCUCAGUUGGUGAGUGAGAUAGGCAUCGGGAGUAUAGCUCAGUGGGUAGAGUGGCUGGCUGGCACCCGAGAGGCUCGGGUUCGAUUCCAGGUGUGAGUGAGAUCGGCAUAGGAAGUAUAGCUCAGUGAGUGAGUGAGAUAAGCAUCGAGAUUAUAGCGAACUGGGUGAGUGAGAUCGGCAUAGGGAGAAUAGGAGUGAGUGAGAUAGGCAUUGGGAGUAUAGCGAACUGGGUGAGUGAGAUAGGCAUCGGGUGUAUAGCUCAGUGGGUAGAGUGGCUGGCUUGCACCCGGGAGGCCGGGGUUCGAUUCCAGGUGUGAGUGAGAUAGGCAUAGGGAGUACAGGAGGGAGUGAGAUCGGCAUCGGGAGUAUAGCUCAGUUGGUGAGUGAGAUAAGCAUCGAAAGUAUAGCGAACUGGGUGAGUGAGAUCGGCAUAGGGAGUAUCGCUCAGUUGGUGAGUGAGAUAGGCAUCGGGAGUAUAGCUCAGUGGGUAGAGUGGCUGGCUGGCACCCGAGAGGCUUGGGUUCGAUUCCAGGUGUGAGUGAGAUCGGCAUAGGAAGUAUAGCUCAGUGAGUGAGUGAGAUAAGCAUCGAGAGUAUAGCGAACCGGGUGAGUGAGAUCGGCAUAGGGAGAAUAGGAGUGAGUGAGAUAGGCAUUGGGAGUAUAGCUAACUGGGUGAGUGAGAUAGGCAUAGGGAGUAUAGCUCAGUGGGUAGAGUGGCUGGCUGGCACCCGAGAGGCCAGGGUUCGAUUCCAGGUGUGAGUGAGAUCGGCAUAGGAAGUAUAGCUCAGUGAGUGAGUGAGAUAGGCAUAGGGAGUAUAGCUCAGUUGGUAGAGUGGCUGGCUGGCACCCGGGAGGCCGGGGUUCGAUUCCAGGUGUGAGUGAGAUAGGCAUAGGGAGUACAGCUCGGUGGGUGGGUGAGUGAGAUAGGAGUGAGUGAUAUCGGCAUAUGGAGUCGAGCUCAGUGGGUGAGUGAGAUAGGCAUAGGGAGUAUAGCUCAGUGGGUAGAGUCGCUGGCUGGCACCCGGGAGCCCGGGGUUCGA